CUAAAGCACACACCCAGCCAGCCAGCCUCACUAAAAUAGUGCCAGUACUUUUUUCUGCUCCAAAUUAAAAAAAGAGAAGCUGGUGUUGGUGUGCUGCUAGUAGUUCCUGGGAGUGAAUGCAGCCUCCUCCUCUUCAUGAAGGGAUGCCGAUGCAUUUAGUGCCACUUGCAAGGAGUUUGGUGAGAGGGGGGAGGAUCUGAGUGAGUGAGCUCAUUGCAACCCUAUCCUCCAAGCAGUUCAGUUCUUGCUGGAUUUCCAUCUCAGUGGGCAUUGAUGAUGAGUGAGUGAGUUCUUGGUGCUGUGCAGAAAGCAGAGAAAGUGGAGUCAAAUCUUUCUUUGGGGUUUUCUUUUCUUUAAUUUGAGUUCUUGAUCCUGCCAACAAAAAGCGAAAGCCCCCGGCUUUUUGCUGAGAAAGGUGGAGGGUGCUGUCAUUGCGUUUCAUUUCAAGCCCUCUCCUCCAUUUCCGCUUCGGAGGAAGUAUUUGCUUCCCCCAAUCUCAAAUCCAGGAUCUUUUUGAGGUUUCUGCAUCCAUCAGCCACAGUUCUUGGUUGGGGAAUUGCUCCGGUGGUGCUGCCACUUCUGAUCCAUUUUUCCUCCAAGGAGAGAUCCGGUUUGUUUCUUUUCCCACCCAGAGCGGCGGCAUUUGUUUGAUCCAAAAAUCUCCCCAGAAAUCUCGGGUUUUUCCGCUCCACUCACUCACCCGUGCCUCACUGAUCCAAACCGCCAUUGGAGGAGCUGCGAUUUCUCGGUUGCCGAUCCGGGAACUCGGGGAACGCCGGCCCAUGCCAUGCAUCUCUCCCUGUGGAAGCCGCUCUCCCACUGCGCCGCCAUCCUCCUCUCCAAGAACAACCGGCGCCGCGGCGGCCAUGGCGGCGGCAACGGUGUGCGCGACGACCCAUCGUCGUUCCUCCGGCAGCUGCGGGACGCGCUCGACGCCGCGUCGGAGGAGGGCGCGCUCUGCCCGCCGCCGGAAGCCGCGGGCGCCGACGCCGACGCGGACGCCGCCGUCACGCGCUCCCGCUCCCUGGCGCGGCUGCGCGCGCAGCGGGACUUCCUCCGCGCCACCGCCCUCGCCGCUGCCGCCGGCCCCUUCCGCUCCAUCUCCGACCUGCCGCUCCUCGCCCACGCCAUAGCCACCUUCCUCUCCAUGUACCCGGACUACGCCUCCACCUCCGACGUCGACCGCCUCCGCCUCGACCACUACUCCCACCUCGCCGGCAGGGUCUGCCUGGACUACUGCGGCUUCGGCCUCUUCGACUCCAGCUGGGACUCCUCGUCGGCCUCCUUCACAUUGUCCGAGCUCAAUGCCAAUCUGAGCAACCACGCCCUCUACGGUGGCGCUGACCCCGGCACGGCCGAGAACGACAUCAAGGAGCGAAUCUUGGAGUACCUGAAUGUGCCCGCCAGCGAGUACGCUCUGGUGUUCACAGUGAGCCGGGGGUCGGCGUUCAAGCUGCUUGCCGAGUGCUACCCGUUCGAGAACAACCGGAGGCUGCUCACCAUGUUCGACCACGAGAGCCAGUCGGUGAACUGGAUGGCGCAGAGUGCACGGGCCAAGGGCGCCAAGACGCGUGCCGCUUGGUUCCGUUGGCCCACCCUGAAGCUCUGCUCCACGGAGCUGCGGAAGGAGAUUGUGGGCAAGAGGAAGGGCAGGCGUCGGGAUUCUGCAGUCGGCUUAUUUGUGUUCCCUGCACAGUCUCGGGUGACCGGUGCCAAGUACUCCUACCAAUGGAUGGCGCUGGCGCAGCAGAAUGGCUGGCAUGUUAUGCUCGAUGCUGGUGCACUUGGUCCCAAGGACAUGGAUUCGUUGGGGCUCUCGUUGUUCCGGCCAGACUUCAUCAUAACCUCAUUCUAUAGGGUGUUUGGUUCAGACCCAACUGGAUUUGGUUGCCUUCUGAUCAAGAAGUCGGUUAUUGGGAGCUUGCAGGGGAGGAAUGGCUGUAAUGCUUCUGGAAUGGUCAGGAUUGUUCCAGUUUUUCCACAGUAUCUCAGCGACUCCAUCGAUGAAUUUGAUGCGGUGGAAACGGAGGGGCUUGAAGAUGACCCUUGCACCCCCAAAGAUGAAAAUCCAGUUCCGGAUAUCCGGAAUGGGUCGCAGCUGCCAGCAUUUUCAGGUGUGUACACGUCUGCUCAGGUCAGAGAGACGUUUGAGAGCGACCCUGGUCGUGACAGCAGUUCGGAUAGGGAUGGAGCGAGCACCAUUUUUGAAGAAACAGAGAGCAUAUCUGUUGGUGAAGUGAUGAGGAGCCCAGCAUUCAGUGAGGACUGUUCAUCAGAGAAUUCUUUCUGGGUUGAUGUUGGCCAGAGCCCACUGGGAUCGGAGAAGUCUGGUCAGUUCAAGAAAGGGAAACUGGGAUCACCAUUACCAUCGUCUUGGUUCACUGGCAGAAAGAGUAACAAGAGGAUGUCGCCUAACCUAACGUCUAGGAUAUCAAGGAGCCCACUUUAUGAUGGCAAUGUGAUAUCUUUUGAUGCCGCUGUACUAUCAGUUUCACAUGAUGUUGACUGCCUCAGGGAAGACCCUGAAGAAGAAAUCUAUGAGAAUGGCCGUAGAAAUCAUUUCAGGCAAGUUAGUGAAAUCCAGGAGGAGCCGGAGGUUGAAGAGGUUGUUUGCCAACGUGCCAUGAACGGUCUAGAUCACAAAGAAAGUGCGAUAAGAAGGGAAACUGAAGGGGAAUUUCGUCUUCUGGGAGGCAGGGACGGAAACAGCAGAUUUACUGGGGGCCGGCUCUUCGGUGUUGAGGAGAUUGAUGGAGCUAUAAGCAUGGGUCGCAGGGUUUCGUUUAACACCGAUGCGAAUAUGAUUGCUGACAGGCUACAUCGGGCCUCAGAUGCUGCUGAAGCUUCUGGAUAUCCAUUUCGUGAAGAUGAUGGUUGCCUAAGUGAUGGCUACGAUGACGACGCUCAAGACUGGGGCAGGAGGGAACCGGAGAUAAUUUGCAGGCACAUUGAUCAUGUUGAUAUGAUGGGGCUCAACAGAACAACUCUUAGGUUAAGGUACCUUAUCAAUUGGCUAGUAACUUCCCUGUUGCAGCUGAGGCUGCCAGGCUCAAAAGAUGUUGAUGGAGUCCCUCUUGUCCACAUUUAUGGUCCAAAGAUUAAGUAUGAAAGGGGAGCGGCUGUUGCUUUCAAUCUGAAGCAAACUGGUGGCAAUUUCGUUAAUGCUGAAGUUGUUCAGAAGAUAGCUGAGAAAAAUGGCAUAUCUCUCGGCAUCGGUUUUCUUAGUCAUAUAAAGAUAGAUCCAAACCAGAAACUGUCAAAUGGAGCACUAGAUAUACCCGAGGCUUCCUUUUAUAAGAAUGGUCGCAGAGACAGUAAAAAGGUGACUGUAAGAGUUGAAGUUGUGACUGCUUCGCUUGGCUUCCUUACUAACUUUGAAGAUGUGUACAAGAUGUGGGCAUUCAUCGCCAAGUUUCUCGAUCAUUCGUUCCUGGAAAGUGAGCGCCUUGCCUUAGCCGCUGACCACUCAGAAGGACAAAUUUGAGCUUGCUGUAUGGUUUAGCAACCGACGAAGGAGAGGAAGGUGAUCUUUCUCCUUUUGGACAUCGCGGAGGCCGGUUGCGCCAGCCCUUGCCCAAAGCGCCGCCUCGUUCUUGAUCUGCCCAAUGAGGGCACUGGCAGAGGGUCGUGCCUGCUCGAAGAUGCAGCUAUUCCUGUGCUUCCAUAGCAUCCAAGGUGUGAGCAGGGUCGCUGAAGCAAGUCCCUUGCGUAGAGGUUUCGGCGUCUGCUGUCUUGGGGUGAUCCACCAAUCAAAGAGUGAUGCAUCAUUGCCACAGGGUGGCCUGCAGGUCAUACGCAGCCAGGCCAGGAUUUUUUGCCAAAUCUGUUGGGAGAAGGGGCAUUCCAGGAGAAGGUGAUGCAUCAUCUCCGGCAGCUGGUCACAGAGGGGGCAUCUCGCGUGGUGGUGCCAUUCAUAUUUGGAAAAGCGGAAGAUGGUGAAGUUGUGAUACACAACUCACCACGAUCUGAAGUGAUGCCACAACCAUAGUUCAUUUUGUAUUGAAUACAUCAAACAUAAAUUUGAGUUUUCCCCCCUACUGCUACUGCUUUUGUCUGUUCUUACUUGUUAGCACCAUGGGCUAGCCAUUCUGGGUUCGAACCUCAGUUCUACCUUAAUUAAAAUGAUAUCUACUUCCUCCUA